rnacentral:rRNA from 1 species
CAGGUCACUCCUACGGGAGGCAGCAGUGGGGAAUAUUGGACAAUGGGGGAAACCCUGAUCCAGCAAUGCCGCGUGUGUGAAGAAGGCCUGCGGGUUGUAAAGCACUUUCAGAGGGGAAGAAAAAAUCGGAUCUAACACAUCCGAGCUUGACGUUACCCAUAGAAGAAGCACCGGCUAACUCCGUGCCAGCAGCCGCGGUAAUACGGAGGGUGCAAGCGUUAAUCGGAAUCACUGGGCGUAAAGGGCGCGUAGGUGGUUUGAUAAGGGUGUGGUGAAAGCCCGGGGCUCAACCGGGGAACUGCACGGGAAACUAGCAGGCUUGAGUUCGGGAGAGGGAAGCGGAAUUCCGGGUGUAGCGGUGAAAUGCGCAGAUAUCCGGAGGAACACCGGUGGCGAAGGCGGCUUCCUGGACCAACACUGACGCUGAGGAGCGAAAGCCAGGGGAGCAAACGGGAUUAGAUACCCCGGUAGUCCUGGCCCUAAACGAUGAAUGCUUGGUGUGGCGGGUAUCGAUCCCUGCCGUGCCGAAGCUAACGCAUUAAGCAUUCCGCCUGGGGAGUACGGUCGCAAGGCUGAAACUUAAAGGAAUUGACG